GUAACAAGGUUUCCGUAGGUGAACCUGCGGAAGGAUCAUUACUGAGUGCGGGCUGCCUCCGGGCGCCCAACCUCCCACCCGUGACUACCUAACACUGUUGCUUCGGCGGGGAGCCCUCUCGGGGGCGAGCCGCCGGGGACUACUGAACUUCAUGCCUGAGAGUGAUGCAGUCUGAGUCUGAAUAUAAAAUCAGUCAAAACUUUCAACAAUGGAUCUCUUGGUUCCGGCAUCGAUGAAGAACGCAGCGAACUGCGAUAAGUAAUGUGAAUUGCAGAAUUCAGUGAAUCAUCGAGUCUUUGAACGCACAUUGCGCCCCCUGGCAUUCCGGGGGGCAUGCCUGUCCGAGCGUCAUUGCUGCCCAUCAAGCCCGGCUUGUGUGUUGGGUCGUCGUCCCCCCCGGGGGACGGGCCCGAAAGGCAGCGGCGGCACCGUGUCCGGUCCUCGAGCGUAUGGGGCUUUGUCACCCGCUCGAUUUAGGGCCGGCCGGGCGCCAGCCGACGUCCAACCAUUUUUCUUCAGGUUGACCUCGGAUCAGGUAGGGAUACCCGCUGAACUUAAGCAUAUCAAUAAGCGGAGGAAAAGAAACCAACCGGGAUUGCCCCAGUAACGGCGAGUGAAGCGGCAAGAGCUCAAAUUUGAAAUCUGGCCCCUCCGGGGUCCGAGUUGUAAUUUGCAGAGGAUGCUUCG
rnacentral:misc_RNA from 1 species